AGAGUUUGAUCAUGGCUCAGAACGAACGCUGGCGGCAGGCCUCAAACAUGCAAGUCUAGGGGGUGUAGCAAUACAUCACCGGCGGACGGGUGCGUAACACGUGGGAAUAUACCUUUUGGUUCGGAACAACGCGGGGAAACUUGCGCUAAUACCGAAUGUGCCCUUACGGGGAAAGAUUUAUCGCCAAAGGAUUAGCCCGCGUAGGAUUAGCUAGUUGGUGAGGUAAUGGCUCACCAAGGCUCCGAUCCUUAGCUGUUCUGAGAGGAAGAUCAGCCACACUGGGACUGAGACACGGCCCAGACUCCUACGGGAGGCAGCAGUUGGGAAUCUUGGACAAUGGGGGAAACCCUGAUCCAGCCAUGCCGCGUGAGUGAUGAAGGCCUUCGGGUUGUAAAACUCUUUCGACGGGGACGAUAAUGACGGUACCCGUAGAAGAAGCUCCGGCUAACUUCGUGCCAGCAGCCGCGGUAAUACGAAGGGGGCUAGCGUUGUUCGGAAUUACUGGGCGUAAAGCGCGCGCAGGCGGUCUUCCAAGUCAGUGGUGAAAGCCCGGAGCUCAACUCCGGAACUGCCAUUGAAACUGUAAGACUUGAGGACGAGAGAGGUGAGUGGAAUUCCCAGUGUAGAGGUGAAAUUCGUAGAUAUUGGGAAGAACACCGGUGGCGAAGGCGGCUCACUGGCUCGUAUCUGACGCUCAGGCGCGACAGCGUGGGGAUCAAACAGGAUUAGAUACCCUAGUAGUCC
rnacentral:rRNA from 1 species